GAUUUCCUUUCUCUGAUAUAUCCGCUUUCCAGAUAUUUGGGGAGACUUCUCGAAUGGACAGGACCGAAAUCGAUUAUACAGCCCCCGUCCAUAUGAGCAUGGGCUUUCUUAAGGAAUCUCCAAGAAACAGGAGAAGAAGGAAACGUAAUCAGUUUGACCAUGAGUAGCAGCCAGCAGGGAUUUGUCACAAACAAAUCACCUCCUUCCUGCCAGGUUAAUACUGGAGUCCGCAAUGACCCCGUGCAUCUAAGCGAGAGUCAGAAGAACGCAUUGAGUGAGUUCGAAUUCUGGGGUAGAAAACGACGGAAAUGAGUUUGCUGGUCUCGUUCUCCCUCUUUGGUAGGGCGGACAUCUGCAUCCCCGGCCACCUUCGCGCAGCCCAGGAAAGCCCAGAGGCUGCAGCUCACAUUUGCAGGAUGCUCGCAAGCUCCUGCGAGAGUUUCCAAGAAGACUGCUUGCUUUCAGUCAAGGCCACUAUCUCCUCACCUUUGCGAGCAGUGGAGUCACACCAGUGAUUUAAUGCAGCGGAGGGAAUACUGUGAAAGCUGACAAUAGAUGUAAGGGGGUUUUAUGUUAUCGCCCACUAGUUUGCACAUGACUGGGUGUGAUUCACGGUCUUCACAGAAUGGGAGAAAAACUACAGAGAGAAUGAUUUAGAAAUAUCAUCCAAUUGAGCUGUGAGGGAAAAAAGCAAAAACAAAAGAAUGGAAAUACUUGCUGUACCUCAGGCUUACCGUAAAACCUUUACAAGUUGUAAAAAUACAGAAGUCAUGGACAAUGAAGUCAUGAAAAAAGACAAGAUAAUUCUAAUGUAAAUUCAGUCAUGAUAGAGAGAGGCUCUAAUAUAUGUAUAGAGAAAAUGCACUAUCAGGAUUUUAACUUACUGGGGUUUAGAGACCUAGUUAUAAAAUAACUACCUGCAUUGGACCUCCUAGCUUUUUAAGGCUAUCUUGCUUCCUACCAGUCUGUUAGCUGGGUUUUCAAAACAAGUCUGUGCAUUUGAGUUGUGGAAUUUGUGGAGCCUGUGAGGCUGCCAAACAAGGGAUUUCUUUCCUUCCUCAUCAUCCUCCAUCAUUGCAAACAAUGGACUGUGUCGUGAUUCUUGUAAAUACUUCAGGUAGUGUUUGUUUUAGAGGACAUGCCAAAUACGCUGUUUCUCUGAAUAUCCAGCGCUAGUUUCUGUCGUUACUGGCUCACUCUUUUGCCUAGUGUUUCAGCUGAGGUUUUAGGUGUCUCCUCUGUAUAGUACAUUCUCCUGUAGAUUUUGAAUACUGUGGAGUUAACAGUUUAAAAAAAAAAAAAUUCCUUCUCAUUUUUUGGGGAGUGGAGGAAUAAUAGGUCUAUAUUUUUAAAUCAUAAUAAUUCACCAAAUUAAUUGAUUUUUUUUUCCUUGACCUGUGUCAAGUAGCUUAAGUUGAGGUUAACUUGGGGGUCCUAAUGGACAGCAUAUUGACCAUGAGCCCUGGGACAAAGAAGGCCCCAACAGCAUCCCGGGCUGCAUUAAGUAGAUCGUUGCCAGCAGGUCAAGGGAGGCGAUCCUUCCCCUCCACUCCGCACUGGUGAAACAUCUGGAGUGCUGGGUCCAGUGCUGGGCUCCCCAGGACAAGGCAGACAUGGACAUACUGGAGCGAGUCCAGCAAAGGGCCACAAAGCUGAUGAGGGAAUGGAGCAUCUGGCAGAGGAGGAAAGGCUGAGAGAGCCUGGAGAAGAGAAGGUUCAGGGGGAUCUUAUCAAUGCUUAUAAACACCUGAUGGGGGGGACUAAAGAAAACAGAAAUAUAUUCUUCUCAGAGGUGCCCGGUAACAGGGCAAGAGGCAAUGGGCACAGAUUGAGGUACAGGAGAUUUCAUUUACAGAUAAGUGUGUGUGUUGGGGGGAAGGGGGAGGUUGGUU